AUGGGAUUGCUUUUGCUCAAGGGCCUGGGUGCACUUGGUGGGUGAUGCGAAAAGAUGGGGAAGUCCGAUGUGUGCCUCAAGGGGAUUUGAUUUUAGUACUAUAGUAAGAAUCACUUAGAUCAAGCAAGAAAGAACUGUGAUAAAACUGAGCAAAGUGCAGUAGUGAUGGAACCAGAACUGACUCAAGCAUGCAACGAUCCAACGGUGCACACCAUCCUCCUGCUGCGUCUAAUGUCACCUGCUCGUCACACCGCACUGAAGCCCAAUUCUGCUCUACCGACUGAGAGGACUUUGCACCAUCCCUCCUGCCUAGAAAGACUGGUAUGACAGAUGGAGCCCAGAGUCGGGAACUAAAUGAACUCAACGAACAUUUAAUGAACAUAACCCAUAAACUAAAGGAAUGAUAUCUCUGUGUGUGUAUACAUAUAUACAUAUAUAUAUAUAUAUCUCGUUGUUCAUAUGUCUCAAAGGGAUGGAAAAGGUGAUGAUGAUUGACCGGGAUGUAACUAAAGGUAUGGGAACUGAGCAUGACGUCAAUGGUAUAGAAUAAGAAGGGGUGGAUACUGUCCUAGUUUCAGCUGGGAUAGAGUUAACUGUCUUCCUAGUAGCUGGUACAGUGCUAUGUUUUGAGUUCAGUAUGUGAAGAAUGUUGAUAACACUGAUGUUUUCAGUUGUUGCUCAGUAGUGUUUAGACUAAAGUCAAGGAUUUUUCAGCUUCUCAUGCCCAGCCAGCGAGAAAGCUGGAGGGGCAUAAGAAGUUGGCACAGGACACAGCCA